rnacentral:rRNA from 1 species
UACGUAGGGUCCGAGCGUUGUCCGGAAUUAUUGGGCGUAAAGAGCUCGUAGGCGGUCCGUCGCGUCUGCUGUGAAAUCCCGAGGCUCAACCUCGGGCCUGCAGUGGGUACGGGCAGACUGGAGUCCGGUAGAGGAGAAUGGAACUCCUGGUGUAGCGGUGGAAUGCGCAGAUAUCGGGAGGAACACCAAUGGCGAAGGCAGUUCUCUGGGCCGUAACUGACGCUGAGGAGCGAAAGCGUGGGGAGCAAACAGG